rnacentral:rRNA from 1 species
CACGUAGGCGGGUCGUUAAGUCAGGGGUGAAAUCCUGGAGCUCAACUCCAGAACUGCCCUUGAUACUGGCGAUCUCGAGUUCGGGAGAGGUGAGUGGAACUGCGAGUGUAGAGGUGAAAUUCGUAGAUAUUCGCAAGAACACCAGUGGCGAAGGCGGCUCACUGGCCCGAUACUGACGCUGAGGUGCGAAAGCGUGGGGAGCAAACA